rnacentral:rRNA from 1 species
GAGUUUGAUCCUGGCUCAGGAUGAACGCUAGCGGCAGGCUCAAUACAUGCAAGUCGAACGGUAAAUAUACCAGACNAUGGUAUAUGAGAGUGACGCACGGGUGCGUAACACGUAUGCAACCUACCCUUUACAGGAGUAUAGCUCGGGGAAACUCNAAUUAACACUUCAUAGUAUGAAUGAAUGGCAUCAUUUGUUUAUUAAAUCUGAGGAGGUAAAGGAUGGGCAUGCGUCUGAUUAGCUAGUUGGUAGUGUAACGGACUACCAAGGCGAUGAUCAGUAGGGGAACUGAGAGGUUGAUCCCCCACACUGGCACUGAGAUACGGGCCAGACUCCUACGGGAGGCAGCAGUAGGGAAUAUUGGUCAAUGGGUGAGAGCCUGAACCAGCCAUGCCGCGUGCAGGAAGACGGCCUUCUGGGUUGUAAACCGCUUUUGUCAGGGGAUAAAAUUUCCAUGCGUGGAAAAUUGAAGGUACCUGGCGNAAUAAGCCACGGCUAACUACGUGCCNGCAGCCGCGGUAAUACGUANGUGGCAAGCGUUGUCCGGAUUUAUUGGNUUUNAAGGGUGCGUAGGCGGCCUAUUANGUCAGUGNUGAAAUCUCCGGNCUNACCCCGAAACUGCCAUUGAUACUAUUAAUCUUGAAUGUCCUGGAGGUAACCGAAAUAUGUCAUGUACCGGUGAAAUGCUUUAAUUUNGACAUANAACNCCGAUAGCCUAG